rnacentral:rRNA from 1 species
UACGUAGGGUCCGAGCGUUGUCCGGAAUUACUGGGCGUAAAGCGCGCGCAGGCGGUCCGCGAGGUGUCACGUGAAAGCCCCGGGCUCAACCCGGGAGGGUCGUGGCAAACCGGCGGGCUUGAGGCCGGUAGAGGUGGGUGGAACUCCUGGUGGAGUGGUGAAAUGCGUAGAUAUCGGGAGGAACGCCGGUGGCGAAGGCGACGUGCUGGACCUCUGCUGACGCUGAGGCGCGAAAGCCAGGGGAGCAAACGGG